rnacentral:tRNA from 1 species
GGUCCGGUGGCCGAAACGAUAAUGGGGAUCGUCUUUAAAACGACAGGACCGUGGUUUAAAUCCCAUCCAGACCA